rnacentral:lncRNA from 1 species
AUGGGUUUUCGUAUUCCUAGUAUGAUCAGAAGAGCAUCAUCUUCUAAAGCUAUGGCCAUGCCAAAAGGACACGUUGCUGUGUAUGUUGGAGAGAAACAGACGCGGUAUGUGAUUCCAAUUUCAUACUUGAACCAACCGUCGUUUCAAGACUUGCUUAGUCAAGCCGAGGAAGAGUUUGGAUACGAUCAUCCGAUGGGUGGCCUCACCAUUCCAUGCACAGAAGAUGUAUUUCAAAAUAUAACUUGUGGCUUGAAUGGAAUAUGA